CGCGGGAGCUUCUCAGUGUGAGCCACCCACUCCUUCAUGCUGUCGAGGACGAUGGGGAUGAGGCUCACCACACCGCCGUAAUGGUUCCGGGCUUCAUCGCAGCUGAGAGGGAUGAAGAUGAACAGAAACUAGUUCCUGUUUGGACAUGCCACACCUGAGCAAGAACUACUUGGUUUUCAAAAAAUUACCUUUCCAAGUUCUGGACAUCUAGAGUAUGAGUAUACAUGGAGAGAUGGAAGGCGAAGAAAAAAAUGGAUUUGAGCAGAAUCAGAAUUGUAGAGUUUGAAAGGAGCCCCAAGUUUCAUCUAG